GAUGAAGAACGUAGCGAAAUGCGAUAAGUCAUGUGAAUUGCAGAAUUCAGUGAAUCAUCGAAUCUUUGAACGCACAUUGCGCCCCCUGGUAUUCCGGGGGGCAUGCCUGUCCGAGCGUCAUUACAACCCUCAAGCUCAGCUUGGUGUUGGGCCCCGCCGCCCCGGCGGGCCCUAAAGUCAGUGGCGGUGCCGUCCGGCUCCGAGCGUAGUAAUUCUUCUCGCUCUGGAGGUCCGGUCGUGUGCUCGCCAGCAACCCCCAAUUUUUUUCAGGUUGACCUCGGAUCAGGUAGGGAUACCCGCUGAACUUAAGCAUAUCAAUAAGCGGAGGA
rnacentral:misc_RNA from 1 species